UAGGGGGCAAGCGUUAUCCGGAUUUACUGGGUGUAAAGGGAGCGUAGACGGCGUUGCAAGUCUGGAGUGAAAGGCGGGGGCCCAACCCCCGGACUGCUCUGGAAACUGUGAAGCUGGAGUGCAGGAGAGGUAAGUGGAAUUCCUAGUUUAGCGGUGAAAUGCGUAGAUAUUAGGAGGAACACCAGUGGCGAAGGCGGCUUACUGGACUGUAACUGACGUUGAGGCUCGAAAGCGUGGGGAGCAAG
rnacentral:rRNA from 1 species